UCGUCAUAUGCUUGUCACAAAGAUUAAGCCAUGCAUGUCUAAGUAUAAACUAAUUUAUACGGUGAAACUGCGAAUGGCUCAUUAAAUCAGUUAUAGUCUACUUGAUCGUACAAUUUUUCUUACUUGGAUAACCGUAGGAAAUCUAGGGCUAAUACAUGCUAAAAACACUGACUAUCAGGGGAAACUCUGGUUCGGAAGGUGUGAAUUUAUUAGAUUAAAAACCAAUGUGGGGUUCGCUCCACUCUUUCCUAGACGAUUCAUGAUAACGCAUCGAAUC
rnacentral:rRNA from 1 species